rnacentral:rRNA from 1 species
GGACGAACGCUGGCGCGUGCUUAACACAUGCAAGUCGAACGGUAAGGCCCUUCGGGGUACACGAGUGGCGAACGGGUGAGUAACACGUGGGUGAUCUGCCCUGCACUUCGGGAUAAGCCUGGGAAACUGGGUCUAAUACCGGAUAGGACCAUGGACUUCACGGUUUGUGGUGGAAAGCUUUGCGGUGUGGGAUGGGCCCGCGGCCUAUCAGCUUGUUGGUGGGGUAAUGGCCUACCAAGGCGACGACGGGUAGCCGGCCUGAGAGGGUGUCCGGCCACACUGGGACUGAGAUACGGCCCAGACUCCUACGGGAGGCAGCAGUGGGGAAUAUUGCACAAUGGGCGCAAGCCUGAUGCAGCGACGCCGCGUGAGGGAUGACGGCCUUCGGGUUGUAAACCUCUUUCAAUAGGGACGAAGCGCAAGUGACGGUACCUAUAGAAGAAGCACCGGCCAACUACGUG